AGGUGUUUGUUCAGCAGAACUGCGCAGGAAGCGAUGCUUACUGGGCUUAUGCAAAGGGAGAGACUUGCUAGACCCGCAGGCGACGCUGAAGGAAGGCGCUUUGCGGAUUGAUUCAGCACUGCGAGAUCCAAGCUGAGUAUCAACAAACACCUUAACAACGUCGAAAGUAGCCUAUUUUAAGAGGAAAUAUGCAGAAGAAGAAGAUUUACAUCAAGAUUACCAGGGGUAUUUUCCAAAACACCUGAUAUUACCCGAAGAUCGAACUUGUAUUCUGAAACUAUCUCUGCAGAAGCUUCAGUUCCUUGAAGACCCCGAGGUCUACCUCCGCCGGUCUGUGUUGAUCAACAAUUUGUUGCGGAAGAUCCACCUGGAAACAGAGCGCGAACGCUAUGAGUACUUUAAAGGAUUCCCGUGCUGUAGGACUGCUUACUCUGAUACGAGAAAACGGCUGAAGGUCAUGGUGCAAGAAUGUCGCACGCAAUCCCUUUAUUACGAAGAGCUCCACUCGUAUCAUAUUGUGCCUUAUCCGACGGAGAAUGCCAUUUACGGAAUGGGCUACUCAAGUGGCCACUUGGAGCAAAAUCCACAGUUGCUUAUUUAUAAAAUGAAGUAGGGUAGCUUUCCCCCAUCCCCCCCAGAGCUGUGAAUUGUUUUUGUUUCUGAACGUCUGAGAGGGCUUCGUAGCAUAGGCCGAAAGGCUAGUUACGGAAGAAGGGGAGUUAUCAAAGCUGUGAGUCGCCUUCAGCUCUACCGGGGAAUGCAUUGGUAAUAGUAUUUGGUCCUCGGGGAGCCCGCUUCAAUGCAGAAGGAACUUGGUGUCCGCACAAAAUUGGUGCAAUAGGAAAGAUUUUCUCAUGAGUAGAGCGGCCUUGUGUGCAACGAUCCUUGGCUUUUUUCAGUUCUCUGUCUGUACAUAUUUGAACUAACUUGACCUUGUUCCC